UUGCUGCUGGUUGCUGCUGUUUCUGUCAAUGCUAGAAAGACAGCUUGUUGCUGUAUUUUUGGUAUCCAUUGCUACAUUUUGCACAAAUGAUGCACUUAAUUUUUGAAUCAAUAGUUGUUGUUGCUACACUUGUGGCAUUUACGCAGACAGGGGCUACACUUGGUGCUGCUAUACUUUGGCUUUGCAUUUGUGAAGCUGCUUGUUAAAACUGCAGUGUCUUUGAUUUAAAAAAAUGAUCAAUGUAGCACUUGAAGUGUUCACUUGAUACCACCUAUUUGCUGCUGCAUUUUCGUCACUUCUAAGGCUAGUUUGUUGUUUCUAUUUACUGCUAUCUUGCUGCUGAUACAAAGCCAAACUAAGGACAUUAGACCUGAACCAAUCUGCUAUUAUGUUUUGAAACCUGUACUGCUGCAUUGUGAAACAAAAUGGUUGCUUCAUUUCGGCCAUUUAGCAUUUUGGCCAAACAGUUUUACUGUUAGGGCAUGUGCUACUACUGCUUUUCAAGAAGUUAUUGCAUUUGGAAGAAUAGAUACUGCGUCUCGAUAUGUUUGCUACUUUUUUUCCCCUAAAAAAUGAGCAGAUGCUACAAGGGAAAUAUUUCUAUAUUC